rfam:Triticum aestivum genome assembly, contig: Triticum_aestivum_CS42_TGACv1_scaffold_558589_7AL
CAACUACUCCCUCUGUCCCAAAUUUCUUGUCUUAGAUUUGUCUAGAUACGAAUGUAUCUAAUACUAAAAUGUGACUUGAUACAUCCAUAUCUAGACAAAUCUAAGACAAGAAUUUUGGGACGGAGGGAGUACUUU